UACGGGGGGAGCAAGCGUUGUUCGGAUUUACUGGGCGUAAAGGGCGCGUAGGCGGCGCAACAAGUCACUUGUGAAAUCUCCGGGCUUAACCCGGAGCGGUCAAGUGAUACUGUCGUGCUAGAGUGCGGAAGGGGCUACUGGAAUUCUCGGUGUAGCGGUGAAAUGCGUAGAUAUCUGGAGGAACACCGGUGGCGAAGGCGGCAUCCUGGACCGAAACUGACGCUGAUGCGCGAAAAGCCCAGGGGAGCAAACGGG
rnacentral:rRNA from 1 species